rnacentral:rRNA from 1 species
AGUGAACGCUGGCGGUAGGCCUAACACAUGCAAGUCGAACGGCAGCACAGUAAGAGCUUGCUCUUACGGGUGGCGAGUGUCGGACGGGUGAGGAAUACAUCGGAAUCUACUUUUUCGUGGGGGAUAACGUAGGGAAACUUACGCUAAUACCGCAUACGACCUACGGGUGAAAGCAGGGGAUCUUCGGACCUUGCGCGAUUGAAUGAGCCGAUGUCGGAUUAGCUAGUUGGCGGGUUAAAGGCCCACCAAGGCGACGAUCCGUAGCUGGUCUGAGAGGAUGAUCAGCCACACUGGAACUGAGACACGGUCGAGACUCCUACGGGAGGAAGCAGUGGGGAAUAUUGGAGAAUGGGCGCAAGCCUGAUACAGCAAUACCGCGUGAGUGAAGAAGGCGUUCGGGUGGUAAAGCCCUUUUGUUGGGAAAGAAAAGCAGCAGGUUAAUACCCCGCUGUUAUGACGGUACCCAAAGAAUAAGCACCGGCUAACUUCGUG